rnacentral:rRNA from 1 species
GUCGGCCUACGGGGGGCAGCAGUGGGGAAUAUUGCACAAUGGGGGAAACCCUGAUGCAGCAACGCCGCGUGAGUGAAGAAGUAUUUCGGUAUGUAAAGCUCUAUCAGCAGGGAAGAAAAUGACGGUACCUGAGUAAGAAGCCCCGGCUAACUACGUGCCAGCAGCCGCGGUAAUACGUAGGGGGCAAGCGUUAUCCGGAUUUACUGGGUGUAAAGGGAGCGUAGACGGCGAAGAAAGUCUGAAGUGAAAGCCCGCGGCUCAACCGCGGAACUGCUUUGGAAACUUUUUUGCUGGAGUACCGGAGG